rnacentral:sRNA from 1 species
ACAAGAUGUAGUUUCCUCGUCUUUAUAAUAACUGUAUUUCUGGAAAAAGGUGAUUUAAGCUAACGUUUUAGGUAUAUAAGAGCAAUAAAUUUUCUUGGAAUUAGUUGGAUUCCCAGGAGAGGACUUGGAGAAUACAAUGGAGUUAAUUCAGAGACCAGAGAAGGAUUAAUCUCGAUUUGUUGUGUUCUAUUUGCUCAUAUGGGAUAACGCCGAUGUGUUAUUGGAAUAUCUAUAUUGAUGGAAUCAAAUUUACCUUUGGGAUUACUUGUGUGAUAUUAAGUUAAGGUCUCUGUUGCAGAUGACAAUAUUCAUCGCCCGUUGUUUGCGAGAACAUUUUAUAUGAAUGCCUUAUCAAACCUAAACGGGAUCCUCUCUUCUCUCUAUUCUCCGAUGGAAAGGAAAAGAAUUGCGUGUAACUGAUCCUUUAAAGCAUUGGGAAGGCGUGAGAAUGGCCGAAAGUCAACUUCUGUUCCAAGAUGGAAACAAAAAGGGCUUGAAAUCCGACAGUUUUUAGUGGUGUAAUAAACAUCUUGAGAUUUCUGGCUUCUGACAGCAGUUGACUAUGUAUAUCCCCCUAACCUGUAAUUUGUAUGAAGGCUGUAUGAGAACUAGAGAGAAAACUUUUUUUUCAAUAUUGUUUCCGAUCAAAGGGAGGCCCACAUAAAGGAGUUUUUCAAAGUCUCUUUCCUUGGUUUCUUCAUUUAUUCUAAAAGUCACCUAUAUACCUAAAAUAGUUUCUAAAAAUUUCUUUUUCUUUGUUUUCUUACUUUCAAAUUUUUAGUUUUGUCAUAAUAAUUCUCUUAUUAAUUUCACUUAAUGAGCUUAUAUUAUUUUAAUGUUUGUAAAAAAAAAAAAACUAACAACAUUAUCAGUAAUAAAAUUUGCCGAAAAAGAC